GGGGGGGGCAGGGAAAGACAGAGAGAGAAAGAGAAAGAGAGAGAGGAGAGGGAGAAAGAGAGAGGGGUGGACCCUGCUGGAUGGAGAUUCUGUUUUCUCCUUGCUAAAAUAGAAGUGAUUUGCAGGCUUUCCCUAUGGAAUCCAGUUUGACUCUCCCCAGAGCUAAACACAGGCACACUAACCCCAAAGGGAGGAGGCGGGGCUCGCGCCUCACGGCCCCGCCCCUUCAUUUGCAUAACGCCAUCCUUCCGCCAAGCUGCAGCCAAUCGCGGCUUAAGAAGCCUUCUGGCUCGCCGCGCUGGGCCACGCUCCCUCAUUAACAUCCCUCUCCGGGUGGCGCAGGGGAGCUAGCCAAAGUUCCUCGCAAAGUGGCGAGCGAAGGAUCGCUGAGCACCAGCGUCUGUGCUGGGAAGGAGCUGGGCACAGCUGGGCAGAGCCGGGCUGGAGAGGGGAAACAGACGGAAGGGAAGGGCGAUAUUUUUCUCAGGGAUUUGAACUGGGGUCUGCAUCCUGGUCGUUGCGGUCCUUUUAGCAUCCUCGCCACGCCCUGAGCGCGCUCGCGGUUCACAGGCUGCGCCCUCCCAGGGCCGAUGCUGCGUCCUGCUCCGCUGUUCUGGGACGUCGGGGGCAAAAGUGGAGGAGACGGGAGAGCCCGGGCAGAAAAAGCAGGAAGCGCGUCCCAGAGGAGGAGCUGAGGUUUUGAUUUGCCCGUGGCGUGUGGCUAGCAAGCAGUGGGGCUUGACUGUAACCCAGGAGCCACACUGCCUAUGAAAUUAAGAAAGCUGUCUGCUACCUUACUUACUUCUGUCAACCAAUUCCUGGUAUCUCUCUUCUCUGGACACCCAAAAAAGAUUAUGGCCCUCUCUUUGAAGUUAGUGUGGUCAUCUGACUUCGUUGAGCCAGAGCAUUUCCUUAAAGGAACAAAGAGGAAAGAGUGACUAGAAGACUCUGUGCAGAGUUGGUCUGUGGAGAACUGCUGUAUGUCUUAUUCCUGGGCCAUUGCUAGACUGCAUUUCUCGACAUCCCUAGCAGCUGCUUUGGCUGUAUGACUGAGUUCUGGCGAGUGAAAAGUAGGUGGGAUUGAUGGAAGCCAUUUUCAGAUAUAGUUCAUAAAAACCUCCCACACAGUCUUGCUCUCCUCUUCCUCCCCUUCUGCGGACUAAUCAGAAAAUCCAAGGUGCUAUUCCAAUGCUAGGGCAGGCUUAGCAAAGGUUUUCUGUCAAGAUCCUGAUAGGCAAUAUUUUAUAAUUCAUGAGACUGUUGCAACUACCUUAGUGUGAGAGCAGCUACAAAGCACAGGUGAUACAUGAUGAAUCGGUGUGGCUGUGUCUCAAUAAAACUUUAUUUACGAAGAAAAAAUUUAUAAAAACUCUAGAUCAGAUUUGGUCCAUGACUCGUAGAUUGCUGACCCUGCUCUAGGAUAUGUCAGAAUCACAACAUAGAAGGAUUCUGGCCCCUAAAUGACUGCAUGGGGAAACAAACUUUAUACAAGCAAGAAAUAAACUUCUCUUCUGUUAAGUCAUUGGGAUUCUAGGGUUGUUUCAGCAUUAGCUUACUCCAAUACUGUUGGAGGAGGUUAUCGAGGGGACAUGAACUCAGGUUGACCCAACGAUCUGAACCUGGGCAAUUGGCUCCUCCUCCCCUCCCCUGCACUUCAGAUGCACAUUUUGCAUAGCAUUCCACAGUGGGCACUGUUUUCAAAGAUGCAGCUUUAAGAGAACAGUGUGCUGUUGAGACCAUCUGGACAGUAUAUGAGACUGAACCCAAUUAAGGUCUCUGUAUAAACUUUUAAGGUUCUGGCGGGCACGUGCAGAGAUUUACCUGUCUUGUUACCUGCCAAGAUGAGCCUCAUGUGUAAGUUCCCUUGCUUAUUAAGUCUGCCACCAGAAAUCCAAGAAUGCCACCACCUACCAAGAGUGGUCUUCCUCUUUCUUCGGUUUUUCUUUGCCCUCCACGUACAGAAGCCAGGUCCAGAUUUAAUUCAGGAUGCUCCUGAGGUUUCAAAUCAACAGAAAAAAUACCUGGUCACAAAGAUGGAUUUUUAUAAAUAUUAGAUUUCCCCUUCUUCCUUACAUUCCUUUGAAGACAGGCUUAUUCAUUUGUCAUAGAAUCUUCCCAAUACGUGUUAGUGAGACAAUUAAAACACAAUCAGAUAAAUAAUUGUAUGCAUGAAGCACGCAUAUCAUGCAAUGCUUAUGACAUUCCAAGUUGUUGCUGUCACCUCUCUCCAUCCUACCACCUAAUUCCUAGAUGCAUAUCUGAAUUGUUUUGUGCUGCCUUCCAGAUAACCAAAGACACACAUUUGGGAAAGUUUGCUUGGGUAAAGUGAAUAGAGCUUGGUUACUUGGUUCACUGUAUGUAAAUAGAUUGCUCUGUCUUACAUUUAAGUCUCUGGAAUGUGUUACAAAGUCAGCUUUGGGUUAUUACUCAGCUACUUUGUAGCCUGUCAGUGUAAUUUGGUAUCUUUACUCCUAAUUUAUAAUCAGGGAGCCUGAGACCCAAAAGGGUUAAAGAACUUUUCCAAUGUCAUAUUCUGGCAAUAUCCAAAAGCUAGGCCCACCUGAACCCAAAUGUCACACUAUCAAGAUUUGGAUUCUGAAGCCUCUGGAAUCUUAUCCACCUUCCCUACUUGACAUGUAUUUGUUGGGGAACAAUUAACCUCAAGAUGAGUAAUUUGCCACCAUUCUGUAUGUAUUUCAAAUUUUCCCAUUACACAAGGAAAAUGAGAAAAAUAUGUCCUAGAUAACACAAAGAAAAAUGCUUCAUUGUCUUAAUUGCCUUUCUAUUUCAAUCAAGAAAGGCAUUUAAUUAUUUCUGAACUACAUUCAAAACUCUCUCUCUCAAGAAUAUUACUCUCCUCAGGUGGGUUAACCAAACCUGUGCAAAAUAUUUCUCAAGUCUGAAUAUUAAUAUCAAACAUUUAUUGAGUAUUUUUAUAUGUGAAUGCCAAUUUAAAUGCUUUCCAUUUACGAUCUCAUUUAUUCUUCACAGCAAGUCUGUGAAGUGGAAAUAGUCAUUAUUCUGCUCGAACAAAUGAGGAAACUGAGGUUCAGAGAGGUGAGAGAGCUUGUCUGAGUUCGAAAGGCAGUAAGUGGUGAAGUCAACAUUCAAUCCUCGGCCACCCCUUCAGGCCACAUUGCUCCCCUCGCUACUCUGCUGUGCUGACUCUGAACAGAGCUAUGCUUUCCCCCUUUGAGUAUAGGUGAAAAACCAAUAUGGAAGACUCACCCAAGGUGACUUGAGUCAGCUACUCAAGGGUCAGUCAGAACCUCAAGCCUCUAGAAUUUGAGGUGGGUCAUCUAAGGGCUAUGGAAUCAGAAGGGGCAGAAUCCGUCCGGCUUCUUGCACAAUCUGAGGAAAGAAGUGCUUGUUGCUUAACACCGCUUCCCUGGGCCCUGAAAAUGCCCACAUGACAUGCACCCAGUGGCCUACUUUGACUUUAUUAUCGCUGUUGGAAACCGCAAAGAGAGGGAAGAGCAUUUCUAUGAUAUGUACUUUAUGGCCAUUACUCUUACCUCAUUAUUCUUACUUCACUUAAAAACAAAAAAUAAAGAACAAUCAACUCAGUAUUUACACUCUAAAAUUGAUUGGCAUGAGCAUGUGUGUUUUAUUAGUAAGAAAAAGAAAGUAUUUUCUGGCAUGAUGGACUAUACCCUUUGAAAAGCAUACAGUACUUGAAAUGUGUGGGCCACAUCAGUAGGAAAGAUGCACCUGCAAUUGUUUGGAAGGAUUUUAAACUUCAUAAUAGGUAAGCUUAGGACAGUAAUAGUAUCCUUACAUCUUCAGACCAAAAUAUUGUAUAGUUUGAGCUAAAAAAAAAUGUUCAGUCUUCACAGUAGUCUUAAUACCACAGUUAUUUUUAACCAUCUUAAUGAAAAGAUUCUAUUUCAUUAACCUUGCCUAAGGGCAUGUAUGAGAAAACACUGAUGUUUUUUAAAUAUGAAAUAUAACCUCCAUUCCCAAUAAACAAGAGCAAUGGUGCAUUCUUUGUGUGUCUUUGAAGGCUUCUAGUCACAAAUCUAAUCACCUGUUGAAAUGUAUCUAUUUUAUCUCCAAUAAAUAAUAUGUGAACACUUAAAAAAGACUCUAUAAGCUCACCUUCUUGCAUUAGGAUUUGUGAAAAUCAGACAGCCUGGAGAUGUGCGAGCCGAUGUUUAGUAAAGACUUGAAACAUAGUCUUAAACACUUGGAAUUAGGUAAAAAAUCUAAACAAAGUUCAUUUUCUCUUCAUUUUCCUUUGUGCUAGUCCAUGGCCAUGUGUGUGGUGAAUAGUCCUUCACACGCACUUGCACACUCAAAUUUCACUAUGCUCUGGAGAGACCACUGGAUGGGAGAGACUAAAAAUAUCAUUGAGCUUUCAUUUUCCAAUCACAACAGCUGUCAUUCAGAUCAACACUUCCCUCACCACCCCCACCACUGGUUUAAAAAGUUUUUAAAUCUCCUGCAAAAGAAAAACACAACUGAGAUGUUGCAGCAAGAGUGGGGAGUUUCCAGGCCAGUUUUUGACAAAAAGCCUGUAAGCAGAGAGAUUAGUAAAGCAUUGGACACCAAAGCACUUAUGCCCCAAAGCAUUUCUGGUUCCUGAUACCUCCGGCUUCUGCACGGCGACUACACGACGGGAGGGCAGCCGUGGUCAGGGCCCAAAGCCCAUCCAAGGUGGGAAGUUUUUAGAAGACCCCUUGACACUAAGCUUGGAUUUCAAAGAGAUGCAUCAUCAACGGCAGGGCAAAGUUACUGUAAACCUAUCCCACCUUGCCCCAAACCAGGAGACUUUGGGCCCCCGACUGGCCCUCAGGAGGCUUUACACUCAGAUUCCCACAGCUUGAGCUGGCCAGGUAAUCUCAACUUGUGAAACGGUGUAAGGUGAUACCCAGCUGGUAGUGUACCCAGGUACCUCGCGGAGCAAACCCAAAGCAUCUCAGGGGCAGGUCUAUCUAUGCCAGGCCUUGGUUACCCCUACAAAUAACUUUACAAAGGAAGAAAGGCAAGCAAACAAAGAUUAGCAGAAACACAAGGAAACACAAUGUAACAAAAUGCAGCAGAACCAAUAGAAAGCAGAAACAUACCAGCACCCUGCCCAGACUUGGAAAAGUGUCAGGCGGACUGAAAUACCACCAAAAUUACCAUGCUUAAAGAAACAAAUGACAAACUGAUAACAUCUGCAGGAAACAGGUAUAUUAUCAAAAAUGGAUUAUAUUGUAGGAAACUAUAAGAUUUGUCACAGCAAAUUCGAAAACCAGAGUUUUUAUAAAUAAGUAGUAAAAUAACAAAUGUUAAAUACUCAGUGAAUGGGCUUAACAGCAGAUUGGAUAAAACAUAAGGAGAAGUAAUGAACUGAUAAACUAGAAGGGUUUUAGGUAUAAAAUUAUAUUUAAUUGUCCAUAUAAAUUAUAUACAAUAUAAUAUACUGGUUAUGAAUUAGAAUACACUAUCCAGGAUGAAACAUAGAAUAGUAAAUAAAGAGAGAGUGAGACACAAGGAGGAUAUAGUGAGAAAUGUAACAUACAUUUGAUCAAGGCCUUAGAAGGAAAAGAGAGAGAGAAUGAGGCAGAGGAAAUGUUUGAGGAGAAAAUCACUGGAAUUUUCCAGAACUGAAGAAACACAUUAAUCUAUGAUCAAAAAGAUCUAGGGAACCCCCCC